rnacentral:rRNA from 1 species
GUGGGGAAUAUUGGGCAAUGGGGGCAACCCUGACCCAGCAACGCCGCGUGAGGGAAGAAGGUUUUCGGAUUGUAAACCUCUGUCCUAUGGGAAGAAGGAAGUGACGGUACCAUAGGAGGAAGCCCCGGCUAACUACGUGCCAGCAGCCGCGGUAAUACGUAGGGGGCGAGCGUUGUCCGGAAUUACUGGGCGUAAAGGGUGCGCAGGUGGCCUGACAAGUCAGAUGUGAAAUACCGAUGCUUAACGUAGGGGCUGCAUUUGAAACUAUGAGGCUGGAGUGCAGGAGAGGGAAGCGGAAUUCCUAGUGUAGCGGUGAAAUGCAUAGAUAUCAGGAAGAACACCGGUGGCGAAGGCGGCCACCUGGACCGGUAUUGACGCUGAGGUGCGAAAGCGUGGGGAGCAAACAGGAUUAGAUACCCUUGUAGUCC